rnacentral:rRNA from 1 species
ACUUAAAUUGAAGAGUUUGAUCAUGGCUCAGAUUGAACGCUGGCGGCAGGCCUAACACAUGCAAGUCGAGCGGUAGCACAGAGAGCUUGCUCUCGGGUGACGAGCGGCGGACGGGGGAGUAAUGUCUGGGAAACUGCCUGAUGGAGGGGGAUAACUACUGGAAACGGUAGCUAAUACCGCAUAACGUCGCAAGACCAAAGUGGGGGACCUUCGGGCCUCAUGCCAUCAGAUGUGCCCAGAUGGGAUUAGCUAGUAGGUGGGGUAACGGCUCACCUAGGCGACGAUCCCUAGCUGGUCUGAGAGGAUGACCAGCCACACUGGAACUGAGACACGGUCCAGACUCCUACGGGAGGCAGCAGUGGGGAAUAUUGCACAAUGGGCGCAAGCCUGAUGCAGCCAUGCCGCGUGUGUGAAGAAGGCCUUCGGGUUGUAAAGCAC